UACGUAGGGGGCAAGCGUUGUCCGGAUUUAUUGGGCGUAAAGAGCGUGUAGGCGGUUCGGUAGGUCCGUUGUGAAAACUCGAGGCUCAACCUCGAGACGCCGAUGGAAACCCUCGAACUAGAGUCCGGAAGAGGAGAGUGGAAUUCCUGGUGUAGCGGUGAAAUGCGCAGAUAUCAGGAGGAAUACCGAUGGCGAAGGCAGGUCUCUGGGCUGACACUGACGCUCAUGCACGAAAGCGUGGGGAGCAAACAGG
rnacentral:rRNA from 1 species